UACACUUUGUUGAUGUCAUUUUACUGUGUUAAAUUAGGCACUAGCCAGACUGCGUUUCUCAGAAAAAGUUGCUCAGAGUGAUGUGGAUGAGGCGCUUCGGUUAAUGCAGAUGUCGAAGUUCUCCUUGUAUUCAGAUGAUCGGCAAAGAUCUGGCCUGGAUGCAAUAUCUGACAUUUAUUCAAUCCUUCGUGAUGAGGCUGCUCGGUUAAUGCAGAUGUCGAAGUUCUCCUUGUAUUCAGAUGAUCGGCAAAGAUCUGGCCUGGAUGCAAUAUCUGACAUUUAUUCAAUCCUUCGUGAUGAGGCUGC
rnacentral:misc_RNA from 1 species